AAAUAAGUAAGCUAACUCUAAGCUUUUGGGCUCAUAACCCAACAAUGGAUAUUUCCCUUAUUUA
rnacentral:tRNA from 1 species